rnacentral:rRNA from 1 species
ACGGUUACCUUGUUACGACUUCACCCCAGUUACCGGCUCCACCUUCGGCAGCUCCUUCCUUUCGGUUAGGUCACUGACUUCGGGCAUUUCCGACUCCCAUGGUGUGACGGGCGGUGUGUACAAGACCCGGGAACGUAUUCACCGCGACAUUCUGAUUCGCGAUUACUAGCGAUUCCAGCUUCAUGUAGUCGAGUUGCAGACUACAAUCCGAACUGGGACGUUAUUUUUGGGAUUUGCUUAACGUCACCGUCUCGCUUCCCUUUGUUUACGCCAUUGUAGCACGUGUGUAGCCCUGAUCAUAAGGGGCAUGAUGAUUUGACGUCAUCCCCGCCUUCCUCCCGGUUAUCCCGGGCAGUCUCUCCAGAGUGCCCACCUCUACCUGCUGGCUACUGGAAAUAGGGGUUGCGCUCGUUGCGGGACUUAACCCAACAUCUCACGACACGAGCUGACGACAACCAUGCACCACCUGUCUCCAAUGCCCCGAAAGGAAAGUGACUUUGCUCACUCGUCAUCGGGAUGUCAAGACCAUGUAAGGUUCUUCGCGUUGC